GAGUGGAACAAAGAAUUGCAUUCAGACAAUGACUUGUUUGAGUGGUCUCUUGCGGGUUGUCUUGUACAGGGUGAGCGGAAUUAUCAGCACCCACAAAGCUACCUGCAAGUAGUACAGGAAUUAUUGCCGCAUUUCCACCGAGGAAAGACACAGGAAGGAACGACGACCUGUGUGUGUGUGGGAUUUAUAGGGUGUGCCCACGGCUAGGUUGGUUUUCGCAAUGCAACAUGAGAGAAUGGCUACCGCCGCCGCAUGCUGGAGCAAGCUUGCGCGUUCUUGGAGCAUCAUCGUCUUGUUGGUGGCGGUGGCAUUGGCCAUGGCGCCGAUCGCCCAUCAAAGCGAUGACCAUUCGACAAACAUGACAGAUCAAAAGGCCUGAUUAUCAGUAUCCUAUCCCGCCUAGUGGCAGGCCUGGUGGCGGUGGUUCUCGUUCCCCUCAUGGUCGUGGUGGCGGUGGUUCUCAUUCCCCUAAUGGUCCUCCUUGCACAUCAUGUCCAUAUCCUGGUGCUUGUCCAUGGUGUCAUGUUAGAUGAAUGCUUCAGUGGCUGAAUCUGGAGCCAGCCAAAGUCAAUGUAGAAUCAAACACAUGUUCCUAAAUAUCGAGGAUUAGCCGACUCAGUCUCUCAGAAAUGCUUAUAGAGACAGGGUUGCAUGUGUGUAUUCAUGGUCUAUCCCAUAUGUGAGUUGGGCUAGCCCUCCGUCCACGACUCGAGCACGUCCCUACAAAAUUAACGGACAAGUAUAUGUAUCUAAUGCUUAUUCCGACGUUGUCUUUUGCAAGUCACGGGCAUAAUAGUCUAGUCUAAAAAAAUGAGCAAUUUUCUUA